rnacentral:lncRNA from 1 species
UCGCCGACAAUAUCCGUUACGGCCGUGUCACAGCUGGGAAUGAUGAGGUGGAGGCUGCUGCUCAGGCUGCAGGCAUCCAUGAUGCCAUUAUGGCUUUCCCUGAAGAAACGUGUGGUGGGUAAUAUCCACAGGGUACAGGACACAGGUGGGCGAGCGGGGACUGAAGCUGAGCGGCGGGGAGAAGCAGCGCGUCGCCAUUGCCCGCACCAUCCUCAAGGCUCCGGGCAUCAUUCUGCUGGAUGAGGCAACGUCAGCGCUGGAUACAUCUAAUGAGAGGGCCAUCCAGGCUUCUCUGGCCAAAGUCUGUGCCAACCGCACCACCAUCGUAGUGGCACACAGGCUCUCAACUGUGGUCAAUGCUGACCAGAUCCUCGUCAUCAAGGAUGGCUGCAUCGUGGAGAGGGGACGACACGAGGCUCUGUUGUCCCGAGGUGGGGUGUAUGCUGACAUGUGGCAGCUGCAGCAGGGACAGGAAGAAACCUCUGAAGACACUAAGCCUCAGACCAUGGAACGGUGACAAAAGUUUGGCCACUUCCCUCUCAAAGACUAACCCAGAAGGGAAUAAGAUGUGUCUCCUUUCCCUGGCUUAUUUCAUCCUGGUCUUGGGGUAUGGUGCUAGCUAUGGUAAGGGAAAGGGACCUUUCCGAAAAACAUCUUUUGGGGAAAUAAAAAUGUGGAC